UCUUCCCUCUGGCGGCGUGCCUAAUACAUGCAAGUCGAGCGAACUUUUGGGAGCUUGCUCCCAACAGUUAGCGGCGGACGGGUGAGUAACACGUGGGUAACCUGCCUGUAAGACUGGGAUAACUUCGGGAAACCGGAGCUAAUACCGGAUAACAUUGAAGACCAAAUGGCCUUCAAUUAAAAGGUGGCUUUUAGCUACCACUUACAGAUGGACCCGCGGCGCAUUAGCUAGUUGGUGAGGUAACGGCUCACCAAGGCGACGAUGCGUAGCCGACCUGAGAGGGUGAUCGGCCACACUGGGACUGAGACACGGCCCAGACUCCUACGGGAGGCAGCAGUAGGGAAUCUUCCGCAAUGGACGAAAGUCUGACGGAGCAACGCCGCGUGAGCGAAGAAGGCCGUCGGGUCGUAAAGCUCUGUUGUUAGGGAAGAACAAGUAUCGUUCGAAUAGGGCGUUACCUUGACGGUACCUAACCAGAAAGCCACGGCUAACUACGUG
rnacentral:rRNA from 1 species